rnacentral:rRNA from 1 species
UACGUAGGGUGCGAGCGUUAAUCGGAAUUACUGGGCGUAAAGAAUGCGUAGGCGGCUUGACAAGUCAGGAGUGAAAUCCCAAGGCUCAACCUUGGAACUGCUUUUGAAACUGUCUUGCUAGAGUCCCGGAGGGGUUGGCGGAAUUCCGAGUGUAGAGGUGAAAUUCGCAGAUAUUCGGAGGAACACCAGUGGCGUAGGCGGCCAACUGGACGGGAACUGACGCUGAGGCAUGAAAGUGUGGGGAGCAAACAGGAUUAGAUACCCUGGUAGUCCACACCGUAAACUAUGUGUGCUAGUUGUUGGAUAGCUUAGCUAUUCAGUGACGGAGCUAACGUUUUAAGCACACCGCCUGGGAAGUACGGCCGCAAGGUUAAA